rnacentral:tRNA from 1 species
GCGGACGGUGCCGAGGUUCGCGGGUCCGCUGGACGCGGGCCCGCUGGACGGUGCGGAACUGGCUUUCCGCUCC